GAAGCCACUGUCUUGGUAUUUCCUGAUACAUAAAUUUUUCUUCCCGAUUCAUUUUCGUUAUACUUCUAACAAUAUGUUUACUCUAAAAGGGCAAAAAAAUUAUACACUUUUAAACUAUGAACAUCGAUUUAUGGUUCUCAUCAUUCUACAAUAUUUUCAUACUUUGCUGGGCCUUCAAUUCAUGAAAAUAUUGCCUUAGGAGGACUGAGCUGAAACCGCUAUCCUCUAUACUACUGGAAUAUAUUCUGAUUUCGUUGUGUAUGAUAUUAUUUCCCUUUUCAUUACUUAAUCUUCGGUACUAUUCCUCUGGCCCUUGCGGGGCUGUGGGGUAGCCUAGAGGUCAAAGCGUUCGCUCGUCACGACGAAGAUCUGGGUUCGAUUC